rnacentral:tRNA from 1 species
GUCUGCAUAGAUUAUUUUAGAAAUCGUGAUGCUGUUAACUUCAAAAAGGGAUUCGUCCCUGCAGUCG